AUGGAAACCGGAUCUGCGGCGCUCAAAGGCAGCUGCCGCCUCGCCGGGGAGCUCGGGGUGGAGAGAGCGGCGGAUGGGGAGCUCCGGGCGGAAUCAAUGGGGAAUCUUUCUUGUAGAGAGAGAGCCGUUGUGGAGAUGGGGAAUGGGAUGGAGAAUUCGAAAUGGCGGAUGAGGAUGGAGACGGGGAGCAGAUCCGUCCACAAGAAAGAAAGAGGACGGAGCGUCGCCACCCGGGCCGGGCCGGGCCGGACCUCCAUGUCCAGCCCAGUAAAAACUAGCCCAACCCAGCCCAGCCCAUUAGAAACACAACAGGCCACAAGCCCAGUAAAACACUAG
rnacentral:rRNA from 1 species